AAUCUCUCCUAUGCAAAAUAAGGGAAUUAUCAAAAAUGGGUAUUUGGAUAUUUUCUUUGUGUAACUAAAUUGUGCCCAGGGGAACAUCCUCUGUGUUUUGAAUCUG